UACGGGGGGGGCAAGCGUUGUUCGGAAUUACUGGGCGUAAAGGGCUCGUAGGUGGCCAACUAAGUCAGACGUGAAAUCCCUCGGCUUAACCGGAGAACUGCGUCUGAUACUGGAUGGCUUGAGUUCGGGAGAGGGAUGCGGAAUUCCAGGUGUAGCGGUGAAAUGCGUAGAUAUCUGGAGGAACACCGGUGGCGAAGGCGGCAUCCUGGACCGAUACUGACGCUGAGGAGCGAAAGCCAGGGGAGCAAACGGG
rnacentral:rRNA from 1 species